GACGAACGCUGGCGGCGUGCCUAACACAUGCAAGUCGAACGAGGUCCAUGGAUUGGCAACACUCCGGAAGACCUAGUGGCGAACGGGUGAGUAACACGUGAGGAACUUGCCCCGGAGACCGGGAUAAGCCCCCGAAAGGGGGUCUAAUACCGGAUGUCCUCACCGAGUCGCAUGGCUUGGUGAGGAAAUGGAUUCCGCUCCGGGAGAGCCUCGCGGCCUAUCAGCUUGUUGGUGGGGUAACGGCCCACCAAGGCAUCGACGGGUAGCUGGUCUGAGAGGACGAUCAGGCACACUGGGACUGAGACACGGCCCAGACUCCUACGGGAGGCAGCAGUGGGGAAUCUUGCGCAAGGGGCGAGAGCCUGACGCAGCAACGCCGCGUGCGGGAUGAAGGCCCUCGGGUUGUAAACCGCUUUCAGUGGGGACGAACCAAGACGGUACCCACAGAAGAAGGUCCGGCCAACUACGUGCCAGCAGCCGCGGUAACAC
rnacentral:rRNA from 1 species